GCCGUAGCUCAGUGGUGGAGCAUCUGCUUUGCAUUCAGAAGGUCCCAGGUUCAAAUCCUGACAUCUCCA
rnacentral:tRNA from 1 species